CUUUAGGCCUUCAGUGGUCGAGAACCCACGAUAAAUAACAAUGCGAAGGCUGCAAUUCUUCCCACAAGUCUUCCAUUUACCAUGCCCAUCAUUACUAUUCCGUUUCCAGGCCUUUCAAAUCCAUUUGCAUAAACAAUUUGCCGUCUUUAUAUAGUCACGUUGAAGUUGGAAAAUGCUAGACUCAAGUCUUAGGAAUAUCUUACGUUCAUGCAUGCUUCAAAUGAUAUAUAUAAUGAUACCCUAUUUUAAACAAAUGUUCUCUUUCUUUUCUAACUAGCUAUUUGGGACAUGACUACCUGUUUUUAGAAUCUUGUCGAUCUCAUUCCGAAAUCUAGAGCUUGAAUCCGGAUCCCAGGCCGUUCCCAAUGUUUCACUUUCGUAUGAUCCACUUCCAGCCUAGAAUUUCCCACCCCAAAUGAAGUGUCAUUUAGCUGAAAGUGCCCAAAAGCUAAAUUAAACAUUCAGGCCUCGUUUAUCGGCGUUUACUUUCUAAUGGCACGCGCGAUCUUUUCAUCAGCCAAGCGAGCGACCUGGAGUCUCGCCAGGCCAAAUGUUCUACUUUCGGGGCUAAAAAGCUGUACUCUCUCUGUCGCCGAUGUGGAUUUUUCCCGACUUGGCGGUGGAAUAAAUAAGGUCACUGGCUCAGACAAGCGGCAGGAUGUGGCACACGUAGGGUUGGGCACCGAAUGGUUGGUCGGUCGAAUGGGAUUCGGAUUCGAAUUGCGAUUCGAAGUGGAGGAGACGUGGAUGUGGAUGAGGAUGCGAUGGGAUGGGAUGCCUAGCGGUGGUUCUGAUUUACAGGCGACACGAAUGCAAUGCAAUCGCCGCCAGGCUGCAGCAUUUAAACUUUCAUAAAUUAAGCCAACAGCGGACAACUUUGGACGAAGCGAAACCAUUCGAGAGGAGCAUGGGGUACGUAGCUGGGGGAAAACGGGUUUUUCCACUCGCCUAGGAGGAAAACUCGAGAGCCUGCUGGGGCCGUCCAUCACUUGCGGCCAAAGCGCAGCUAAACUAUUAAAAAUUGUUAACGCUAACGGUCUCAAAAUGCAGUCGCAUAAAGAAAGAGCAGCGACGGAUUGACAGAAAAUGUAAAGUGCAUCUAAAAUCGGGUAAAACAAAACAUAAAAACCAUAUGCCAACGACCUGGGAAAAUGGAUACAAACGUGUUACAAAAGAUCGAAUCGAUGUCAUCAAUCGAUGGAUCGUGUGAUUGAGUGCCUCCCAACAAUGGUGAAUGAAUGGGUGAGAUAAUAACACUCCGCUCCACGUAACCGCAAUCUUUAAGCUUUCCCGACGUAUUCCUAUGAAUUAAUUAGGGUUCUUUUAUUGUUAAGUCUGUGUUCUCCCAUUGUCAGUAUCUAAAGAAUUCUUUUUGGUCAGCACGUUCUGCUGAUAUGAGCCGUAUGAUUUUGUUUUUGACGAUGUAUACAUACAUUGGGAAAUGCAAAUCAGCUACCGGGAUUUAUUGUUUAAGCUCACAUUCGAACCUAUCUGGCCAUAAGAGCAGUUUGCAUUCUGAUCAGUUUUACAUAUUUUACAAGUAUUUAAAGUUUAAAAAGCCAUAUAAACGGCGUUAUGUUGGGCAAUUGAAAUCAUUAAAGAUUGUGAGAUACAAAUUAUCAUACAUGAUUAGGUAGACAGACAUCGAAAGCUAGUCGAACGAUCAAAAUCAAAUCAGUUUCAUCUCAAUUAUGCACAAAGGUCAAAAACAAAACACCAAAAUACUGUUCGAACUCUGUGCAUAUUCAAUUCCUUGAUUGCCCAUUGCACUUUGGCCAAAAACGAGCCCAAUGAAGACAUUUUCCCAUCGGUUUCUUUCGCCCAGCUCACUUUCUCCAAUCAAUUAAACAACAUUGUCUAUGUCCGGACUGCGAGCCGCCAAACUCCGGAGUUUGUGAGAGCAGCAAACAUUUCAAUCGCUGUGCAAGAGGCUCAGGCCAAUUUAAUGCUAUGAAAUAACUUAAUAUUGGACAAUAGUUAAUGGCUUUUUAAUGGCGGGCUUCAGGCUCCGUUUUCCACCUCAGCUCGGCCGGGGCUUGACCCAAUUGACUCGCAGCGAGAAACCGAAAGCCAAACAUGACAAUGAUCUAUAAAUCAAGACUGGAAUCGCAAGUGCGUGAGUCUGGAGCACAACUAGACAGCAUGGACACACGUUUAUCUUUAAUAAGCUAAAUAAAAGUUGCCUCUCUUGA
rnacentral:sRNA from 1 species